GUCCCCUCCCCCCAGCGCUCCUCCUCAGGGCGGCAGCCCUCUGGGCGCUGCUGGGCAGUGCUUUGCCCCCCCUUCUUCAUGUCCCCUCCGGAGAGCCCCGUCCUCUGCGACGGUAUCCAGUUGUGGCUGUGCCCCCCAGCAUGCAGCCUCGGACUCGCACGUCCAGCCGCCUCCCGGGCACCGCCUUCCCUGCCUCCGGCCAGGGCAGUCUGUCCCUGCAGAUGCUCGCACCAGACCGGCGACAGCCCUGGAAAUCGUGAAUGCUGCACCUCCCUCCGCCGCCGCCCGCCGCCCCUCGUUGGGACUCCUGACUCGCCGCUCGGUCUCGCGGUGGCCCGCCCCCUUGUGGUCCAGGCUUCCAAGGCAGCCAGGACUUUUUCUUCCGCCUUUUUUAAAUUGCGGUAACAUAUACGUAACAUAAAAUGUACCAUUCUAACCA